rnacentral:tRNA from 1 species
CCGAUAGCUCAGUGGUUAGAGCGCUGGCUUCGCAAGCCAGAGGACCGGGGUUCGAUUCCCCGGCUAGGUGGA